rnacentral:misc_RNA from 1 species
AUGAAUGAAAUUGAGUGGGGUUGUCGCUGGCCUUUCAACGGGCAUGUGCACACCUUGUUCAACCAUCUCUAUACCACUGUGCACUUCUCAUGGGUUAGGUUGCGUCUGAAAUAUUGACGGGACCUCUCCUGUGUUGCCUUAUACACACGCUUAUGUUUUAGAAUGUCAAUACAAUGCAUGAAUGCAUAUAAAUA